AGGGAAAGGCUACUCUAACUUGGUUUUCUGGUGCCGAGCUCACGUUCUUUCCUUGUUCUGUGUCAGUUUCCAGCUUCCCUUGUGGUUUCCCCUGGUGCUGGCAGAGUGUGGCGAGUUGUGCUUCCUGCUGGGAGAGAGAAGGACCUUGGAAAGCUGCUCUGCGACCACAGCUGUGCCGAGCCUGGGAGUUUGUACCGCAGGAUGUCGAGUGCCACCGUGUCCCCGAGGUCACUGUUUCUCCUGUUGGGAGAGCACGGGGUGGAUGGAAAGGAUCCCCAGGCAUGUGCAGGCACAAGGAGCUUGUCCCACUGCGAUUUUCCUACAGCCCUCAAAGGAUGGGCUUUCAGGUACCCUGGGUAAUGUGCCAGCUCUCCUGCUGGAGCUGUUCCAUGGAAUAUUUGAACACAAAGAGUAAAGCUGAAGUCAGGUCUGUUCUGGAGUGUGUUACACUUGUGCAAAGCUCCUUCCCCCUGUUUAUUUUCUGUCCUGGAAAGCAGAGGCUGGGGUUCCUGGGCACUUCCUAUUAAAUGAUACCAUGAAACUAAUUUUGUGCUGGAAGGGGAAAGGAGCUGUCUGUGGGAGGUCAUGUGGCCAUGACAAAAGUUUUCUGUGUUUUCAGUCAGUAAGAUCUUAAAAUAUCUUAGUGUGUAGGAAUGCCUGGUUUGUAAAAGUGCCCAGCUGAGUGUGAGAGGCUUCUUUGCCGAGCUGCUUUCAGGCAGCCAAAUGGGCCCCAGCAGGGACUCUGUGCCUGCUGUCCCGUGGUUCCCAGGGAUCUCUGGGCCUUCACGCCGGCACCGAGGUGUUCUCGGGAAGGCCCUCAGAUCCCCGGAGCAGUGUGGGACACGGGCACGAUGCCCCUGCCUUUUGGGAGCAGAUUGGGCCCCGGGAGGGACAGUGCUGUUGGUGCCCCCCGGGCUGGGGCACCCCGAGGACUCGAGCGCGCACCCAAAGGAUUCUUCGGGGAGCUCCUCUGGGUGCCCCAAGCUGGGGAGCUCCAAGCAAGGUCCCUGCAAGGGAUUGAGGCAUUCCUGAGAGGAUCAGAGGUGUAGCUGUCCGUCCUGGCCAUGGAGCUCUGGAAUGGGCUGUAAUUGGGUUCUAAAAGUGGUGCUCGGACUGCAAAAGAAGUGUGGGAUUGGGAUUAUGGAAUGAGUGGUGAUGGUACCAUUGGGUGUUUUGUCUUGAGUGGAAUUGUGAGAGCUGCAGGAGUGCAAGGUGUGGGUUCCAGUCCCCAGCAUUUGGUUGGCACAUGUCCUGGUCAGCCCUUAACACAGCAGAGGGAGAAUUAAGGGCUGGCUUAAUUAACCAAUUAGUUAACCAAUUACUGUUAAAGUGAUGGGCAUGACAGGGGUUUAAUUGGGAAAACAAUGAGUAACUCCUCAGUUUGUUUAUUUGCAAGCUCCCCUAAACCUUUUCUAGGAAGAGAUUGGCUGGUAAAGUUGAGGCAGGUAUUAAAUUGAACAAUGGAGAGAUGAUUGAAAUUGUAAUUGCUGAAACUAACUGUGUGAGAGCAGCAGCUCUUCUCGUGCAGGAAAUAACUCCUGUCAGCAGCACCGUCCCGACUGGAGUGGCAGAAGAUGGAGUUGUUCCUGUGGUGUGGGCCAGUGGAAUUCCAGGAGAAUGGACAAGGACAGAACCUGUAGGUUUUAACCCUAAACUGGGAUCUGUAUGGGUAAGACAGCCCCAGUAUCCUUUAAAAUCAGCAUGCCAGUAUUAGAUUUCAAGAUGCCUUUUGCUGCAUCUCCAGGAGCAAGGCAAGCCAAGAAACCUUUGCUUUUGAAGGAGAAAAUCCAGAAGUGGGGAAUGAAGGAAAGAAGCCACCUGAGUCCUCCCUGAGCCACAGCCAGUGCAUGAAGUGCCUUCCUGGGAAUGGUCGGAUGGUGAGGACUCUGCAUUGCUUCCUCUGGAUGUGUGGUAAGGCUGAUGCAAACUUUGGAAACCCCCUGUAAGAGUUUGCUGCCUUGGAUAGAUGGUGCAAGGGCAGCCUUUAGGCAGCUCAGGCAUUCCCUGAGGAGAGCUCUGGCUCUGCCACAUCUCUCUGAACUGUUUGAAGCCCCUUGGUUUGGGAGGGAGAACGAAGGACCAAGUGUGCAGAGAGCCCCCCUGACAAGGGACUUGGAGUGACUGGCAUCCCUCCCAGUUAACUUUCUGGGCUGUUCCCCCUGUAGAGCAGGUGAUAGUCCCAGCUCCAGCUGUGGGGAAAAAAGAGAGCCCCAAAAGCUGGCAAUCCUCCUGGAGGCUCCUGGCAAACAGGGUUUGCUGAGUUAGCCCUGGCAGGAGGACAGUGAUAGCUUUUCAGUGCUAGUAGAGCCUUUGAAUAGAUGGCCAUAAGUCUGUCCUUGUUGCACCAGGAGGCCUUAUCAAGCUCCCCAUAUUGCAGGGAAUAUUGACAUGAAAGGCAAAACUGGUCUUGCUAAUUGUUUGCUGGCUUUAGGAUGUGGCCUGCAGGAACUGCAGGAAUUGACGGUGACGCCUCGGCCGAUGGAUUGGACGCCCCCAGCCCGUGCGUUCCUGCCCAGCCCUUGGGUCCCUGUCAAGUGGUGGGACUGCCAGCCCCUGCAGGGGGCUGUGGCAUGGAAACUGCAGAGAGCCGAGCCAGGGGAUUGAAAGGGACUCAGCCAGGGAGGUGAAGGAAGAAGGAAGAAGGGAAGUGAGGCAGCAGCCAAGCAGCACCAAGUUCCUCUGUCAGCAGGUGAGUUGUCUUGAGGUUCCUCAGGCAGGCUCUUGGGACUUUGGGGACUCCAGACAGAGAAGACCGUGGAAGCCCCUUGGAGAAGCCUCUCAGAAACCUUACAAGGUAGGUGUGGAUGGUAAUAAGUGUUGGAGAAUGCCCUGGAUAUAGAACUGGAAUGCCGGGAAUGAAAAAGGGCAUCAGUACAUGAGGGUUCAAUCAGCUGCAGUGGAGACCCCUCUGUGUGCACUGUGGGAGCUGAUGGCCAGGACAGGCGCUGGGCUGGGAUGAUUGCAGGGUGUUGUCAGCAAGGAAUGCCUGGCUUGUAAAAGUGCCCAGCUGAGUGUGAGAGGCUUCUUUGCCGAGCUGCUUUCAGGCAGCCAAAUGGGCCCCAGCAGGGACUCUGUGCCUGCUGUCCCGUGGUUCCCAGGGAUCUCUGGGCCUUCACGCCGGCACCGAGGUGUUCUCGGGAAGGCCCUCAGAUCCCCGGAGCAGUGUGGGACACGGGCACGAUGCCCCUGCCUUUUGGGAGCAGAUUGGGCCCCUGGAGGGACAGUGCUGUUGGUGCCCCCCGGGCUGGGGCACCCCGAGGACUCGAGCGCGCACCCAAAGGAUUCUUCGGGGAGCUCCUCUGGGUGCCCCAAGCUGGGGAGCUCCAAGCAAGGUCCCUGCAAUGGAUUGAGGCAUUCCUGAGAGGAUCAGAGGUGUAGCUGUCUGUCCUGGCCAUGGAGCUCUGGAAUGGGCUGUAAUUGGGUUCUAAAAGUGGUGCUCGGAGUGCAAAAGAAGUGUGGGAUUGGGAUUAAGGAAUGAGUGGUGAUGGUACCAUUGGGUGUUUUGUCUUGAGUGGAAUUGUGAGAGCUGCAGGAGUGCAAGGUGUGGGUUCCAGUCCCCAGCAUUUGGUUUGCACAUGUGCUGGUCAGACACAGGUCCAGCUUCCUCAGCCCUUAACACAACAGAGGCAGAAUUAAGGGAUGGCACUGUGAAGGUGAUUGGUGUGACAGGGGUUAAAGUGGGAAAACCUUGGGGAAUUCCUUAGUUUGUCUGUUUGCCAAAAUUACCCAAGCCACUGCCAGAAGAGAUUGGUUGGAACAGUUCAGGCAGAAAUGAAAUUGGACAAUGGGGAGAUUGAAAUUGUAAUUGCUGAAACUAACUGUGUGAGAGCAGCAGCUCUUCUCGUGCAGGAAAUAACUCCUGUCAGCAGCACCGUCCUGACUGAAGUGGCAGAUGGAGUUGUUCCUGUGGUGUGGGCCAGUGGAAUUCCAGGAGAAUGGACCAGGACAGACCCUGUAGGUAUUAGCCCUAAGCUGGGAUCUGUAUGGGUAAGACAACCCCAGUAUCCUUUAAAAUCAGAAUGCCAGUAGUAGAUUUCAAGAUGCCUUUUACUGCAUUUCCAGGAGGAAGGUAAGGCAAGAAACCUUUGCUUUUGAAGGAGAAAAUGCAGAAAUGAGGAAAGAAGAAAAGAAGCCACCUGAGUCCUCCCUAAGCCACCUGAGUCGUCCCUGAGCCACAGGCAGUGCAUGAAGUGCCUUCCUGGGAAUGGGAGGAUGGUGAGGACUCUGCAUUGCUCCCUCUGGAUGUGUGGUAAGACUGAUGCAAACUUUGGAAACCCCCUGUAAGAGUUUGCUGCCUUGGAUAGAUGGUGCAAGGGCAGCCUUUAGGCAGCUCAGGCAUUCCCUGAGGAGAGCUCUGGCUCUGCCACUUCUCGUGGGUGGUUGCCCCUUGCCCUGCAGUGGGGCACGCACAGACUGUUGCCAUGAGGUGAUGAACGGGCGCUGUUUGGCUGCCACUCCAGCAUCACCUUAUACUACGUCCUGGCCCUACGUAGUGUAAUGUGGAGCUGAUCCAUGGGGUGUCAGGACUGCUGGCUGGAGCGAUGCUCAUCCUUCCAUCGACACUGUGUUGCUGGCGGGGACGCCCGCUAAGCAUGAGUGCCGCCCAGCCCUGCAGAGCCUGGGAGCCCUGGCCUGUCUGUGCAGGGGAGCACAGUUUAGUGAGAGGAAGAACCCAGAAAGCAAACACUUCACAUCCUUUUCCUUGGAUCCCUUUAAUUCCCUUUGUACUAGCUAAUAUUGGAUCCCUUUAAUUCCCUUUGUACUAGCUAAUAUUGGAUCCCUUUAAUUCCCUUUGUACUAGCUAAUAUUGGAUCCCUUUAAUUCCUUGACACUAAUACUUUAAUAGAGGCUGUUUGUAGGAUUGUAUGAACACCAAUAGAUAAAGUAGUUUUUUUGUAUUCUUUUUAACUUUUGAUUCUCCUUGCUAAUAGUUUUGUUUUUAACUCUCACUUCAAUAAAGGAUAUUUUGUAGUGUUUGAAUGACUGUUGUGCUUGUCUUUAUUCUGGACAUGGAUCCUUGCCAGCCUGGUCCAAGCAGGGAGAACUGCAGCUGCCAGCAGCUGGGUCAGUGCUGGCUGCACUCGGGGCUGGGAAAGGUCCCUCAGUGUGAGGGCAGGGGAGAGCCCAGGGUGGCCCUGGCAGCCCUGGGGCUGGGAACAAGUCCAGUGGGCAAAGGAAUGGACCCUGGAGAGCUGGGCAAAGAGCUGGAGGAGUUGGAAGGAGAAGCAGGAAACUGGACAAGCUGCAGCAGCUCCUUCUGUGUGUGUGGAGAAGCAGCUCUAGUGCAGCCACGAGUGAGGUGGGAAAUGAACCUCAGGAGGCUGGGAAUGAGUCCCACAAACUGGUUACAAGGGAACAACACAUGGA